AUGGAUGAGGUCACAAGGGAUAUACAAGGAGAUAUCCCAUGGUGUAUGCUCUUUGCGGAUGAUGUGGUGCUAGUUGACGAUAGUUGGGCGGGGGUAAAUAGGAAGUUAGAGUUAUGGAGACAAACCUUGGAAUCGAAAGGGUUUAGGCUUAGUAGAACUAAAACCGAGUACAUGAUGUGCGGUUUCAGUACUACUAGGUGUGAGGAGGAGGAGGUCAGCCUUGAUGGCCAGGUGGUACCUCAGAAGGACACCUUUCGGUAUUUGGGGUCAAUGUUGCAGGAGGAUGGGGGUAUUGAUGAAGAUGUGAACCAUCGAAUCAAAGUCGGAUGGAUGAAGUGGCGCCAAGCUUCUGGCAUUCUCUGUGACAAGAGAGUGCCCCAAAAGCUAAAAGGCACGUUCUACAGGACGGCGGUUCGACCCGCAAUGCAGAGUGUUGGCCGAUUAAAAGGCGACAUGUUCAACAUUUAG
rnacentral:rRNA from 1 species